CAGCUAGUUGGUGAGGUAACGGCCCACCAAGGCUGUGAUGGGUAGCUGGUCUGAGAGGACGGACAGCCACACUGGGAUUGAGAACGGCCCAGACUCCUACGGGGGGCAGCAGUGAGGAAUUUUCCGCAAUGGAGGAAACUCUGACGGAGCAACGCCGCGUGCAGGAGGACGCUUUUCGGAGUGUAAACUGCUUUUCUGUGGGACGAGGUAGGACGGUACCACAGGAAGAAGCCCCGGCUAACUACGUGCCAGCAGCCGCGGUAAUACGUAGGGGGCGAGCGUUGUCCGGAGUUACUGGGCGUAAAGGGCAUGCAGGCGGUCGGACGCGUUUUGUGUGACAGCGGGUGGCUUAACUACCCGAGUAUGCGAAAGACGGUUUGACUUGAGGGCUCGAGAGGGACACGGAAUUCCGGGUGGAGUGGUGAAAUGCGUAGAGAUCCGGAGGAACACCGAAGGCGAAGGCAGUGUCCUGGCGAGUGACUGACGCUGAGGUGCGAAAGCGUGGGGAGCGAACGGGAUUAGAUACCCCGGUAGUCCUAGCCGUAAACGAUGACCACCAGGUGUGGGAGGUAUCGACCCCUUCCGUGCCGGAGUAAACACACUAAGUGGUCCGCCUGGGGAGUACGGUCGCAAGAUUAAACUCAAAGGAAUUGACGG
rnacentral:rRNA from 1 species